GACGAACGCUGGCGGUGUGCUUAACACAUGCAAGUCGAACGGUAAGGCCCUUUCGGGGGUACACGAGUGGCGAACGGGUGAGUAACACGUGAGUAACCUGCCCUCAUCUCUGGGAUAACAGUCGGAAACGGUUGCUAAUACUGGAUAUGAGCCUGCAAGGCAUCUUGUGGGUUGGAAAGAUUUUUUGGUUGGGGAUGGACUCGCGGCCUAUCAGCUUGUUGGUGAGGUAGUGGCUCACCAAGGCUUCGACGGGUAGCCGGCCUGAGAGGGCGACCGGCCACAUUGGGACUGAGAUACGGCCCAAACUCCUACGGGAGGCAGCAGUGGGGAAUAUUGCACAAUGGACGGAAGUCUGAUGCAGCAACGCCGCGUGCGGGAUGACGGCCUUCGGGUUGUAAACCGCUUUCAAUUGUGACGAAGCUUUUUGUGACG
rnacentral:rRNA from 2 species